rnacentral:rRNA from 1 species
CUAAAAAACCCAUUCUUGAUACAUUUUAAGACCUCAAAU